AAGUAUUCUUCGGUGCAGCCAGCGCUUCCACAGCGCGGCAGCCCAAACCUUACACACUGUGAUUAGUUUUUUUACUAUUACUUGGCCUGCGCAAGUGGCCAAAGGUCUUAAACACAAAGAUUUAUAUCUUGUAUUUUACAAAAUUUAGUCAAUGAAGUUUUAAUACUAUAAUCUUCA
rnacentral:misc_RNA from 1 species